GCAGUCGCCACGGUAAUACGUAGGGCGCAAGCGUUGUCCGGAAUUAUUGGGCGUAAAGAGCUCGUAGGCGGUCUGUCGCGUCUGGUGUGAAAUCCCGAGGCUCAACCUCGGGCUUGCAUCGGGUACGGGCAGACUAGAGUGCGGUAGGGGAGACUGGAAUUCCUGGUGUAGCGGUGGAAUGCGCAGAUAUCAGGAGGAACACCGAUGGCGAAGGCAGGUCUCUGGGCCGCAACUGACGCUGAGGAGCGAAAGCAUGGGGAGCGAACAGGAUUAGAUACCCCAGUAGUCCCUGUCUCUUAUAA
rnacentral:rRNA from 1 species